UACAGAGGUCCCAAGCGUUGUUCGGAUUCAUUGGGCGUAAAGGGUGCGUAGGCGGCGCGGUAAGUCGGGUGUGAAAUCUCGGAGCUUAACUCCGAAACUGCAUUCGAUACUGCCGUGCUUGAGGACUGGAGAGGAGACUGGAAUUUACGGUGUAGCGGUGAAAUGCGUAGAUAUCGUAAGGAAGACCAGUGGCGGAAGGCGGGUCUCUGGACAGGUUCCUGACGCUGAGGCACGAGGCCAGGGGAGCAAACGGG
rnacentral:rRNA from 1 species